UCCCAGGUGGCUCAGAGAGUAAAGAAUCUGCCUGCAAUGCAGAAGACCAGGGUUCAGUCCCUGGGUUGGGAA
rnacentral:tRNA from 1 species